AGACUGAAGUUGUUCAUAAAAGUAAACAUGAAGAGAAAGGAGGAGAAAAGGUGAAUGAUGAUCACAAAUCCGGUUCUGAUGUUGAUAAAAAGGACAAAAAGAAAGAGCAUGAUGUGCAUAAAAAGGAUGAUCAUCAUGAAAAGAAAGAGCAUGAUGUGCAUAAAAAAGAUGAUGAACAUGAAAAGAAAGAGCAUGGUGUGCAUAAAAAGGGUGAUCACCAUGAAAAGAAAGAGCAUAAGGUGCAUAAAAAGGGUGAUCACGAGAAGGAUGGUGAUAAGAAGAAGAGCGCUCACCAGCAUAAACAUGGUAGUGAGAAGGAUGAUGAUGAUGAUGAGGAUGAUGAAAAGAAGCAUAAGGAUAAAAAGAAGGGUGAACAUGAUGAUGAUGAAGAUGAAUCUGAUACCGAUGAUGACACUGAUGAUGACACCGAUGAUGACGAUGACGAUGAUGAUAAAGAUGAGGUUGAUGCGGAUGAUAAUGAAAAAGAUAAUAUUGGAUUAUAUGAGCUCAAGAAGGGAAAUAUAACCAUCAAACUCACAAACUGGGGUGCUUCAAUCAUGUCUCUUCAUUUCCCGGACAAAAAUGGUUAGUCAACCAAACAUUUUGAAUGUUGGCAAUCAAAUAACAAACUCUUAUUUUAUAAACACUUUAUUUAAAUUUUGUCACUAAAUUUUCAGGAAAAGCUGGUGAUAUUGUUCUUGGUUAUGAUAGCGUCAAAAGCUAUAAGGUACGUAGAAAAAGUGAAAAAAAAACUAUUUUCCAUGUAUUUAUAUUUUUAUGCUUGAUGUUAUUUUAUUAUGAAUUUUAUUUCUUACGACGACUUAUUUGACUUUUGUAUUAUGCUACAUUAGACCGACAAGGUCUAUUUUGGAGCAACCGUGGGACGAGUAGCGAAUAGAAUAGGAAAGGCCCAGUUCAAACUGAAUGGUAAAGAGUACAAGACUACCGCCAACGAUGGCAAAAACACACUUCAUGGUAAAUUAAUUAUAAGUACUAAAACAUAAUUAGUUAAUUUAAUUACGAUUUUGAGAGUAUAAUGAUAGAUGAUUAAUUAACAUUUUUGUUUAAUUUAGGUGGAAAGAAAGGGUUUGGCGAUGUUGUGUGGGGAGUUAAAAAACACAAGUAUGAUGGCAAGAAACCUCAUAUUGUAUUCACUUACACAAGUCCUGAUGGAGAUCAAGGUCUUUUUUCUUUUCAGUUGUUUCAUUCCACGCCAAGCCUUUUUAGAAAGUACAUUUAAUGAUUUUACUAGUUUAUUUCUUUUUGUAUCAAUAGGGUUUCCCGGAGAAGUCAAUGUCACAGUGACUUAUAAGCUUGACAAAGAAAAUGAACUGAGUGUGGUGAUGGAGGCAAAGCCUAAAGAUAAAGCAACUCCGAUAAACUUAGCUCAUCAUAGUUAUUGGAAUCUUGGUGGUCAUAACGCUGGAGACCUUUUGUCUGAAGAAAUACAGAUCCUCGGGUCAAGUUACACUCCUGUCGACGGUGAACUCAUUCCCACCGGAGAAAUAUCUCCAGUGAAAGGAACAUCGUACGAUUUUCUCCAACUCCGUCCUAUUAAAGAUAAUAUGAAGGAUCUUAAAGCAGGGUGAGUACAUACACUUUGCGAAAACAUAAGUUUAGGUAGAUUUUGGAGACUAUUAAACAUUUAUGAUCAAUCUUAAUUAUUAAAAGAAUUAUGGUUUGGAGGCUAUAAAACAUAUGACUAAUAGCUCUUUAGAGUUUAGAAGUCAAGACGAAUGUUUCAUGAGGUUUUGAUCAAAACUAGCUCUGUCUAAUGGUAUAUUUGUAUCUAUUGAUUUUUCUUUUCUUGCAGAUAUGAUAUAAACUAUUGCUUAGAUGGUAAAGCUGAUAAGAUGAGGAAGAUCGUGGAACUCAUAGAUAAGAAAUCUGGGAGAAAAAUGGAGUUAUCCGGAAACCAACCCGGUUUGCAAUUCUAUACCGGUGGAAUGUUAAAGGAUAUCAAGGGAAAGAAUGGGACGACUUACCAAGCUUUCGCGGGACUAUGUCUAGAGACGCAAGGUUAUCCAAACUCAGUAAAUAAUCCUAAGUUUCCUUCACAGAUUGUUGAACCAGGGAAAACAUACAAACACACCAUGCUCUUCAAGUUUUCUAUUGUUUCAUAGAGUGCCUUUGGAACUAUAAUCAAUAUUCACCUGACAAAAAAAUCAAUAUUCACAAAGAUGAAACUAGAUACAUUGUAAGUCUAUAAUAGCUCUCGAUCUUUCAAAUUUCAUGGAACUAUAACGUGUAAUUAAUUCAUCUGUACAAAGUUUAUGCAUCCAUUUGUAACACUAGUUUUUUUAUUUAUUUUCUUUUUGUUUUGGUAUGCAAAAUUCAUUUCAUAAGUAAUUUUUGGUUUUAAAAAUAUCGUUUCUUUCACAUAACCAUAUAAAUAUCAUAGAUUAAAAAAUUCCAUCAAUACCUCGAAGGGUUUAAUUGUAUCUGAGAGACACAUUGAAUGUCGUCAAAAAAGGAGCCACAUUAGCAACUAUCAAUUUCAAGGAGAUGCGCUCACAUGCACAAAGUGUUUUCAAGAAUCUUGACGUCUUUUACCAAAAAAAAAGAAUCUUGACGUCUUUUUUUUAUACAAAGCAUAGUUUUGGAGAGUUUAUUCACUUAUUAGCCAAUCAAAUACAAAUUACCUUUUAGGCAGAUGUUGAGAUGUCGCUCGUGGGAGUGGACUUUCUCGUCUCCCCCUUUAGCUUUUGUUAUUUUUCAAACUGUGAUUAAGAAUAGAAUAUUCUGAGAUUUUUUUUUGUUUGGUAAUUAGACCUUUUGAACGAAAUAAUCAAAGUAUAUAAGAAGAAUGAGUUUAUAAUUUACCAAUUUACAGAUGUUGAAUGAAAUGUGAUGUAUAGAAUCCUUUGCGGAUGUUUCAUUAUUGGCCAUCAAUUUGUACAUUCUGUUGUUCAAAGUUAUAUGUAUACGUACACGUUAUUAUUAGGUACAUUUCACAAGCAAUUAUAUUUAAAAUGGUAUAAAUUAAUGUCCUCCACGCUGUGUUUAAUGGGAAUGUCAGAAUUUUUCGUAAGAUUUUGUCACAAAUGGUGGUAUCUGGUAAGGAUGAAAUAUCAAUAUUUGAAUGAAAUCUUAUUACUUCUAACUUUAAGAUCAUAGAUUAAAAUACAUUUAAAUGCCAUUAACGCGGGUCUAUUCGUUAUGACGGUGUUUACUAAUGAAACGAUAGAAAACAGAGAAUUUAGCAGUUGACCUAUCCAUUAUCAUCAACAUAAACAUGUGCGCUUAACCAAAAUUCUAAUACAAACCAUAUAAAAUAUAUGAAGACCCCCAUGAUCUCACAUGCUAUCUAGCUAUAUAUAUUCCAUAAAGUUGCGUAUGCAAGUACGUGGGACAUAUUACGUAUGUACGUAAAUAUGGAUCACAUCUGAAUAUAUUAGCGAGCGCAGUUGGCAAAUGAUUUUAGGAUCUGAUCAUAAAUUUAUUAUCUUUCAGUAACUUUGGUCUCACACAAACGAUCCGUUACAGAUUAUUUGGUGAAAAGUUCACUCGGAUGCUUUGUCAUAUUAAAUAAUUGGAUGCGACACCAAACGAACACUGCGUGGGUUCAAAACAAAUAAAUGUAUAUUGUGUAUUUUAAAAUGAUGCGGCUAAGCUAAAACUUUCACAGUCGCAAGUUUUGAGUUUUCUGUGGGAAGUGAAGUGUUGGUGGCAGUGAGGUCACAUGGAGAGCCACAAAGAAGAGAAAUAUUCCGUACUCUGUUUGUUUUCUUGUAUAAUGAUAAAAUAUAUGAAUAUUACAUUUUAGUAUAGUUUUAAAAUUAAACCCAAAAGCAUCCAGAGAUCCGAAAAGCUAGCUAGAUGAAUGAACGAUUCUCCUAAACACAGUUUCAAAUCUGUUCUCUUAUUGGACUUUUCUUCUUCGUCUUUGGAAUGUGUGAUUCCAGUACUCUUCCUCUCUCAUCUACCAGAGUACCAGUUCGGCAGUUACCACUACCAUUAUUAUCUAAAAUUGUCAAAUAAUAACUUCCUUCCAUAUUACAUGUUCCUUUUCUGGUCUUUUAAUAUUUUACAUCUAGUAAAAUAAUUUUGGAAAUUUUACCGAAAUAAUUAAUUAAGCUAAAAAGUGGAUGAAAAAUAUCAGAUAUAAUAAAAUACUUCAUGGCAUUUGGUAAAAUAAAAUAUAUUUCAUGACUAUAUAUGUUGUGUCGAACUGUCAAUGACAGAGCUGGAACCCCACUCGAAAGCACAUGCAUCUGAUUUAUUCUUUUAUCAAUUUUUUUUGUCGAUUAUGCAUUUCAACUUCUCAAGUUUGUCACAAUAUUAACUUAGCAAUUACUAUUAAUCACUACUGGCAAAAAUCUCUAGUUAUAUAUUUCAACUAAUAAGUAGUGAUCAUUCAGAAAUAAUUUAAUAAGUAGUGGGUUGUUAACUUGUUAUAUAUGAUACAUAUACUUGAUCUCAAAAAAUAUUUUGGAAGACACAAAUUUCAUUUAUUAAACAAGAAGUUAUCAUUCUAAAAAAUUUGAAUAUCCUCUCUAUACACCCACUUUCUACAAACCCAAAAGAAGCAGCAAAAGAGAGAAAAAAAACGAUGGAAUGUCAUUUGAAACAGUAACAAAUAAUUUCAAAAAUACUCAAAUUAAAAAAAAAAAUCAACGAAAUUUUCUUUUGAUGAUGGUAAUGAUGAUAUCAUGAGGAUGUUGAUCAGGAUUAUGAUGUUCUUCUUGGACGAUAUAAUCAAUUGAAAUGAUGAUGAUUGUGAUGUUGUUGUUGCUGGUCAGGCCAUGCCCAAUAACCAGCCGACGUCGUUUCAUCAAUACCAUUGAACAUAUUGCAAAAUCCUUGAUCCUGAACCAUCUGAUGUUCAAUAUGAGCCGAGGUCGUGCUCGUUGUCACAGAUCGAAUUGUAGAAGGGAAAAGAUCUUUCAACCCCUCUGAACUAUUAUUAAUAUUUUCCGUGCUUUCAUUGUUGCUCCAUGAAGCUUCUGCUGAUUCUCUCUUGAUUUUUCCUGACUCUUUAAGGUCUUGUUUCUUCAAUGCUACAACCUGUUUUUGUGUGUACCAAUAUCACCACACGUAAACUUAAGUUAGCGGAGAAAUUUACUCUCGCAUAAAUUUAUUAAUUUGUUAAAUACUAAAAUAACUUAUCGUAAAUGUCAACUCACAAGCACAUGGGAAUUUUAUUAAUUUAAAAUUUAUGUACACAAUAAUCUUAUUUCAAGGCAAUAAAAAAAUAAUGUUAUUUUGACAAACAUCUUUGCGUUGGAUCAAGAGCCUGUCAACAAUCUAAUUGCAUUUUAUAUUACAGAUACUUCGUGUUAAUCCAUGAAGAAUUUCUUUUAGUAAAUGCUUGAUGAAUGAUAGUAAUUCAUGAUUAAUCAUAUACAUAUGAACCUAGUUAUAUUCAUAGACUAGUGGCUUGUUAAAAACUUGCGUAUCAUUUUUAAUUUUAUUUUUAUGUUACAUUCAUCUCAUUUUUAUCGAAAAUAUUUAGCUUUUGGAAUUUACGUGAUGAAAUAUAAAAUAUACCUCAGCAUGGAGUUUCUUGUUGUGGGCUUGAAGAGAAUCAUUGUCCGAUUUCAAAGCAUCGAAUUGUUUCUUGAGAGAAUCAUAGUCUCUCUCAAGCUGCUUUGUCUUCCACCUAGCUCUCCUGUUCUGAAACCAUAUCACAAUCUGCCUAGGCUGCAACCCUAAGGCCUUAGCAAGCUGCAUCUUCCUCUCAGGCUCCAGCUUGUUCCCUAGCUCGAAGCUCUUCUCUAAUGCCCUAACUUGCUCUAAAUUAAGCCGUUUCUUCUUCUCUCCCAACAUCAUAUGGGACCCAUCAUCUGACAGAUUGUCUUCAUCUCCCACCUGGUCCUGAUCAUUCAUGUUCGUCGUGGUCGGGCUUUUUUUAGUUAGAUGAUGGUGAUCUGAUACUCCCGUGAACGACAUUGAUCUGUUCAUCAUGUAGUUUCCUCCUCCUAUACACCCAAAAAAAGAAGAAGUUAAAAUCAAGUUCAAGAUCCAGACUAAUCUCCUAACAUGUAUUCAUUAUGUGAAUUCCACGGUGAUUAGAGUCCAUAAAAGGUUUACAACUCCAAAUCAUUAUUUGGUAGAGUCUUUAACCCUUUUCACACUAUUAUAUACAUGUGUAAUUAUGUAUAUGUAUAGAGAGAGGUACUUACCGUAGAAGAGAUGAGGAGGGCAAGAAGGGAGAGAGGUAGGGGAAGGCAAGUGAUGAGCAUUGUCUUCAUGAAGUUGCUGAAACAUGAAUCCAUGCUGUGGAAAGGCCAUCUCCAAUCUCAGUUCUUCUUGACUAUUAACAAUAUUGCUCUUUUCCUCCUCAUACAUAUACAUACAAACGUGUAUGUUACACACGCACAAAGCCCACCAAAUGAUUAACUCUUCCUAGGAAUUGUUAUUAGAUCAAGAACUUGUUUGGAGGAUCGUGAAGUUCUCUUGUGGGGGAUAGUUUAGUGAGAAGGAGAAGAAGAAUGAUGAAGAGAUCAGUUCAUGAGAGAUUUGUAUAGGACCCACCCUUUUAUACCAUUUAGGCUCUAUGGCAUUUGCUGAUCUUUCUUUUGAUCUAAUUUGUAUACGACACUUGGGAAAAUUUAAAUUUUAAAUGUUAAUACCACAUGGAUCUUUGACAUAUACAUUUUCCACUUCAUUUAUGCACUGUUUAACGUUGUGAUAUUAAGAUACAUACAUGUAAAACUUUUUUCUGUGUGCACCAUACACAUACAACUAUGAAACCACCUAACACAGUUGAUUUGACAUUUUUUAAUUACAUUUACUUUGUCACCCAGUUAAAAUCCUUACGAUCACUGUUAGCGCGGGUGUAUGAUUAAAUAAAUUCAGAUCAAAAAAUAAAUAAUCAAUGUUAAUUUUUGAACUCUUUCCUAAUUUUUAAGAUGUACUCUCAAAUCCAUAUUUAGUACUCCCAACGUUUUUUUAAUAUAAGUCGUUUUAGAACUAUGCACAUAGAUUAAAAAAUUAUUAACUUUUUAUAUUUUCUAAACAAAAAUAAUUAUUUACCUAACCACAAAUCAACCAAUAAUAAAAUAUAAGGUAUAUUAUCAUUGGUCAUAUAACAUUAAGUGUUAAUAAAUUUUACAUAGAAAACUGAAAACGUCAUAUAAUUUAAAACAUAAAAAAUUUUCUAAAACGACUUAUAUAAAAACAACGGAGAGAGUACUAUUUACAAACCUGUAAUCUUUUAAGAAUAUAAGCCAAAAUAAGCAAGAAAAUGAUGACACCCAUUAAGCUUAAUCCUCGAAUGUAGGCGUAGUAUCAGGAAAAUUGCCAUCAAUACUAAUAGUGUUGGAGAGUUGGAGUGGUAUGCUUGCUGGACUAAAUUCGUUUAUUAAGGCCAUUAACUAACAUUAAUGAAUAUAAAUAACAAUUCAAUCAUUCAUUAAGCAUACUAUACUUCUCAAAUAUCUCAAUGUAAUAUGUAUUGGAACUGUAAAAUUAUGUGUUUAAUUCUAUAUUAUCCGAUUAAUAUGAUAUGAUAUUGUCUAUUUUGAACCUAGUUCAAAUUCACAUGGAUUUUUUUUUUAAAAUAUAUCGUACUAAUAGAUUGAACAUUUUUUUAUAUAUUAGAUUUUUAUUUGUGUAAUUAUUAACGUGGGACUUUGUUUGAUAAUUUGUGCGUACAAGGUUUGGGACUUGAUAGUGCGUAGAUCACCGUUAUAUUCUUGAAUUUAUCAACUAUUAGGUUUUUACGUACCGUCGCAUAUUUAUAUUAAGUUUCUUAAAAUGUUUGAAUGCUUUUUACAAUCGCUGACUCAUUGGUUUUCGGAAGAACAUUCCACAGUAGACCUUAAAGGCACGUGGAUUCUUCUCAACAGGUAAAUGCGUUCACAGGAUGCACCGACCUAUGUAUGUUCUAACAACCAAACGUAUCAAUUAUUAUUCAGACUCGUGGUAAUCAAUACUCAGUAGUAACUCAAUUAUAUCAACAGAAAAAACAUAAACCAUUUCAAACAUGUAAGUUAUAACAAAAUUAUAAUAUAAUUUUGCACAUGACCUAAAUAUUUUUUAAACAUCUUUCUAUAACUACUGAAAUUAUAUAUAUUAACAUAUGACCUAAAUAUUUUUUAAACGUUGGCUCAAAAUAAAUAUAUUAACAUAACUACUGAAAUUAUAUAUAUAUAUAAGUUAUAACAAAAUUAUAAUAUAAUUUUGCACAUGACCUAAAUAUUUUUUAAACAUCUUUCUAUAACUACAGAAAUUAUAUUUAUUAACAUAUGACCUAAAUAUUUUUUAAACGUUGGCUCAAAAUAAUAUAAAUGGAUAUAUUUUUUUUCUAAACCACUCAAACUUAAAUAAAAGUCGUUUUACUUUUCAAAUUAGAUUUUUAUAUAUUUUCAAUUUGGAUCAGACUAGUUUGGAUUACCCGAGUAACAAAAAAAGAUUUUUGACUAUAAUGAUAUUAUACAUGUGUUUUUCUGAACUGUAUGUUAGUAGAAAUGUUGAUUGAGUUGAAAAAAAUGAUGAUUGAGAUGCUCUUUCUUUCACUCUACUAUAUUUUGUUGGUAAGAGUCUUUAUGAGUAUCUAAGGUAUAUGAGAAAAAGAUAUAAGACCCGUUACUAGUGUUUUCCAGUUCUCAUAUCUAUGUGGUAUUGUGGUGCCUUUCGCAGUAUCAAAUUAUAUUUAAAAUUUGAUCUUAUUUGUUAGUAUAUGUUAGUAUUUUAGGAAUGGGUCCUACAGUAUAGUGUCACAGACCUGUCCUACAACAAGGUCUUUCACAUGCUUGUAUAAGGAAGAUUUGAGAGUAUUAACACCUAUCUAUCUAUCCUCUUUGGCAAUAUGCUUUUGUUGCAGAAAAUUAUUGAAUGCUUUUAGAUGUUAUUAUAAAGAAAAUAUAAAUACAUGAUCUGAAGCUUCUCCAACUAGCUCCACUGCUCCCAUGUGCUCUGCUUCUUUUCUACCUCUCUGCUUCUCUCUUGGGACACUUAACUCUCCAAUCUCUAUUUAAAAAAAAAAAAUUUGAUGGGUUUAUUUAUUUCGUUAUAUAUAUAUAUAUAUAUAUAUGUAUUUUUCAUCUAGUUUUAUAGAAUUAAGAAAGGAAUAUAUGAGAUCCAAUUACAAAGCCUACGCCCAAAGAAACUGGCAAUCACCAGACACCCAGACAAGCACGAAACCAUCAAAAAGUUUACAGACUGAAAAAGCAACUCGUUGGCAAACAGAAGGCCGACCAAAAAUUACAUUUACCUCGUUGUGUAAAACGAGUUUUUUUUAUCCUUUUUUUCUCUUAUGUUAACCGUAUAGUAUUAUUAUUUUUCAAAUAAAACUAGUAUUAUUAAUCAUCUUUGUUUCUUAUCUUGAUUAACCAAAGCCAAAACGAUACGUUCGUUUUACAGAACUAUUAUCAUACGGCAAGCAAAACAUCUAGAACUAGAUUGGGUCACGUUUGAACGAAUAUCUGAAAGAUGAUUAACUUCCCUUGAUUAAGGGUACAAGCCUGUAUGAGAACUAACUAUUUAUCACUUUCAAGAGAUACAUAUUAGUGUUGAAAAAGGUUGGGGGAAGAAACACACAAAACAAUUUACUAAGUAUUUUUGUUUAUGUGCACUAAACAAUUUACUAAGUAUUAAAUUCAAAUGCUAGUUUGUGUGUGAAAGAAGUGGAGGAAAAAAAAUUUUGUCACAGUUUUUUAUUUAUUAAUUCACCAGGCUGAAACAAUUGAACCAGUGUAUAUGGGCUUGCUACACUUUCGCUACUCGGUGCUUUAACUGUUCCCCCACCCCCUUUUGAAGCAGCUGAGCGGUCAGCCCACAUAUUUUUAUUUCCUUGUUUACGUUUGAAUUACGCGCGUGAAAGUUAUGGGCCUAAUUAUUCGGCCCUUGAGAGACUUCGGUUCUGUAGCCAGGAUAAUGCUAAAGGCUAUAUCCUAUAUGUCAUCAAAUUUUAUUUCUUUCAUAUAUAUAUAUAUAUAUAUAUAUAUAUAUAAUUUUAAUACUUCUUUCAUUUUUUUUUGUAACUUAGUAUUUCUUUCAUUUUCUUGGUAAGUAAAGUGCGAUAUUUAACAACUUAAAUAGAGUGAAACAGAUAGAAGAUAAUGUCUUAAAUAAAACUAGAGAUUAAUCUGUGCAUCCAUGCGGGGUAUUGGUUCUUAUAUUUUUAUACAUUAAUAUUCGUAUAUCAUAAUUCGUGUUAUAUAUUUUAGAUGAGUCGUAAUAUAAUUAAUUAUAUUCAAAAGAUAUUGACCGAAUCCGGUAAUAUGGUUAUUUUUGAUACAAAUAUCCGAACUCGUUUCAAGUACAUUUAUUAUUUAGAUAUUUUUAGGUUUCUAUACAUCAGAAUCAAACUCAUCCAGGCCCAGUAGGAUCCAACUCAAAACCCACACAUAAAUUUAUAAUAUUAAAGCAGUGCCUAAUUUAAAAAAAAUAAGUUGUAUCUAAAUCACUACAAGAAAACAAAGAGAUUCUGAUGGCCAAAAUCGUCGGAAGUUCGUCGGAAAAGGCCUAUUCCGACGCAUUUCUGACGAAGGCGUUCGUCGGUAUCAUUUCGUCGGAAAAAAAGAAUUCGUCGGAAUUUCGUCAGAAUUUCCGACGACUUUCUGACGAAUACCGAGAAAUAACAUUCUGACGAACUUCCGACAAUAUUCCGAUGCGGACACACGAGACUAGAGUUCAUCGGAAAAACUAUAUACCGACGGAGACGGAUCCUCCGAAGAUUCCGACGAACUAAGUUCUCGGUAAAUACCGACGGAGUCUGAUUCGUCGGUAAAUACCGACGGAAUAUGACUCGUCGGUAAAUACCGACGGAUUACGAUUCGUCGGUAAAUUCCGACGACUCACCAUUCGUCGGUAUGUUCCGACGAAUCAUAGUCCGUCGGUAUUUACCGACGAGUCAUACUCCGUCGGUAUUUACCGAGAACUUAGUUCGUCGGAAAAUGUCAAUUUUAAUAAUACGAAUUAAUUUUGCAUUUUUAUAUAUAUUUUUUAUAUGAAAAAUUAAUUAAUAAAUAAAUAAAAUCUGAAAUUUAAAACUAAUAAUAUUAUAGAAUUUAAAUUCAUACAAACCGAAAUAGAAAAAAAACAUUCAGAAAAUUUAAAAUUCAUGCAAAACGAAAGAAAAAAACAUUCAGACAGUUUUAAAAAGCUGAAAAAAACUAAGAACUCGAAGACAUCAAACGAUCUAGCUUCUGCAUUAUCUCGGCGUUGAACUUCUUCUGGGAUGCCAGCUCAGCAAGGAUAGUGGCAUUCUCCGAACGGAUAGUGGCAUUCUCCGAAAGGAUAGUGGUGUUCUGCUCCUCCAAUGCCCCAAUCCGUUCAUCUUUGUCAUGUAGCUCCUCGAGAAUCAUGGGAUCGGCAUACGGAGCUUGCGAAGAAGAUGCCGGAUACGAAGAAGCACGGCGGGCCAACCCAACUAAACGGCCUCCUUUCCUUUUAGGAACCGCCUACAAAAAUAUUUAAAGUUAGUAAAUAUAGACAAAUUAGUAAUCGACAUUAUAAAAAAAAUAUAUUAAUAAAAAAAAUUACCUUUUCAACCAUCUCAUUUAUUUGCAAUAGGGACAAGUUGGUUGAAGCUCCCGUAGAAUCGCCGUCAUCAGAGAGAGGCUGAGAUUGAGACUCUGUGAAAAGUUUGGAAGAGAGAACAGAGAGGAGAGAGAAAGCUGUAGGGUAAGUUUUAAGAGCUGAAUUAUUUGUUAAAACGAGUACUGAUAUUAUAUAUUCACACAUUAAUGACGAUGUUACACGAAUACGUGUGUACAUGCAUGUGAACGAGAACCCUAACGUGUAGUGAUGAGCACAACAAGGGAAUAUAUUGAUUUGAUGAAAUCACUGUUAAGCUAGAUGGGCUUCUAACCUAAAACCAAUUGGUGCUAAGUGGAGUAACCCAUCUAUCUUAUAUAUUGAUUAUGAUCCCUUCUAAUAUCUGAUGUGGGACAUUUAUCCCUAAUACGCCUCCUCGAGAUGAUGGCUCUUUGAGCGUCAAUCUCGGAAUGCUCAGGCAAAGAUCGAUGGGCCGACUUUGGGCUGGAUCGAUAAUGGAUCGGAUUGGACUGUGUGGAUCGGGCUCUGAUACCAUGUUAGAUGAACUUUCAACCUAAAACCAAUUGGUACUAAGUGGAGUGACCCAUCUAUCUUAUAUAUUGAUUAGGAUCCCUUCCAAUAUCCGAUGUGGGACAUUUAUCCCUAAUACGCCCCCUCGAGAUGAUGGCUCUUUGAGCGUCAAUCUCGGAAUGCUCGGGCAAAGAUCGAUGGGCCGACUUUGGGCUGGAUCGAUAAUGGAUCGGAUUGGACUGUGUGGACCGGGCUCUGAUACCAUGUUAAGCUAGAUGAACUUUCAACCUAAAACCAAUUGGUACUAAGUGGAGUGACCCAUCUAUCUUAUAUAUUGAUUAGGAUCCCUUCCAAUAUCCACAUUUAUCCCUAAUAAUGGUAACAUCUUUGUAAUUAUUACUUCCGAUUCUCUUCUUAAGGAUAAAGUUCUUGGAUCUGCUCAAAUCCAUGAAGCAACUAAGGUAACCAACUCAUAUGUGUAAUAAAGUUCUACAUGUAUACGGAAGACACUCAGAUUUGUAUUUUGUUGUACGCUUUUCUGUAAUUCUUGUAUAUAUCUUGAGAUAAAUAUUAUAUUCCAUAAUUACUUUGCUUAUCGUAAUUAAUAAAAAUAAAAACUCAAAUACUUAUUGUUCAUUUAAAAAUGGAAAUUAGACGAUUAUAUAUUAGUUCUAAAGAUCAUUUCACACAAGAUUGAAUAAUUCGGUAGUUAGGGUUAGUAUGGAAUCUACGGAUCACCAUAAUUUAUAUAUGUAACAAAUAAAUUCUUGGAACAAUUUAUAUUUAUUUGGGAAAUUAAUCCGUUUUUAUAUUCGAUGAUCUUAGGUUGAGGAAGAUCAUCAAGAACUUGAAUCUGCCAAGGCCGAGAUGACCGAGGUAAAGGAAGAGAACGAGAAGCUUAAAGGGAUGCUCGAACGAAUUGAAAGUGAUUACAAGUCUCUCAAACUCAGAUUCUUCGACAUAGUUCAACAAGAACCUUCAAACAACCCAACACAAGAUCAAAACAUGGUUGGUCUUCAGAAGUCGACGACGGACUUGAGUUCUUUUGAUCAAGAACACGAGCUUGUGUCUCUUUCACUCGGGAGAAGAAGUUCUUCUCCUAGUGAUAACACCUCUAAAAAGGAAGAUAAAGAAGUCAACGCUGACGAAGAGUUGACCAAGGCUGGCUUGACGUUAGGAUUCAGUAACGGGAGUUUAUCUAGCCAGGAAAAUAGCUCCGGAGAAACUUGGCCGUCAGGUAAAGUGACCGGGAAGAGAAGCUCUCCAGCACCUGCCUCCUGUGGCGAUGUUGAAGGAGAGGCCGGUCAGCAGAAUAAUGUAAAGAGAGCUAGAGUUUGCGUUAGAGCGAGAUGUGACACACCAACGGUACGUCCUUUAAUUUAUAUAUUCUUUCUAAUAUGAUCUAUAACUUUAAGCACUGCAAACUAUUUGAUUAUGAUUUAUAUAUGACCACUGAUUAGGACAAAUUGUAUUAUAUGAUGUGUAGAUGAAUGAUGGCUGUCAAUGGAGAAAAUAUGGUCAAAAAAUCGCAAAAGGAAACCCAUGUCCACGAGCAUACUAUCGAUGCACUGUUGCACCUGGAUGUCCCGUUAGAAAACAGGUACAUAUAAACAAAACAAUCAAUUAUUCCUAGCAUUUUAAUCAUGAUUUUAUAAUUAUGGAAGAACAAUAAUAUGAUACAGAAACUAUAUCAAGCAAAAGACAUGUCUUCUAUUGUGUUUUUUAAUUAUUUGUCUUCAAUUAUAUUGGAUAUUUUAGGUUCAAAGAUGUGCAGACGACAUGUCUAUACUAAUCACAACCUAUGAAGGAACACACAGCCACCCUCUUCCUCUCUCAGCCACCACCAUGGCCUCCACUACUUCAGCCGCCGCCUCCAUGGUCCUCUCCGGCUCCUCUUCCUCCUCCUCAUCAGCCGCUGAAAUGAUCGGAAACAACCUCUACGACAAUUCAAGAUUCAUCAACAACAACAAAUCAUUCUACUCACCCACACUUCAUUCUCCAUUACAUCCUACAGUCACUCUAGACCUCACUACACCACAACACUCUUCCUCUUCUUCAUUGCCUUCUUUAAAUUUCAACAAAUACUCCAACUCUUUCCAAAACUUCCCAUCCACAAGCCUAAAUUUCUCUUCUAAUCCAUCAUUAUCAUCAUCAACUACUCUCAGCAUACCCACGGUUUGGGGCAGUGGGUAUUCUUCUUAUAAUCCAUAUCCUUACAACAAUGUGCAAUUUGGGACGUCCAACCUAGGAAAAACAGUCCAAAAUAGUCAGUCCUUAACUGAAACCCUAACGAAAGCGCUUACUUCCGACCCAAGUUUCCAGACCGUGAUUGCUGCUGCGAUCUCAUCCAUGGUUGGAUCCAACGGGGAGAAACAGAUCGUGAAUCCUAUUAGCAACAAUGUUCAGCAAACCGCCACGACGAAUAACAUCAAAGGAUGUGGAAGCUAUUUUAGCAGCUUAUUGAUGUCUAACAUAGUAGCAAAUAAUCAAACGGGUGCGUCUUUGGAUCAACCACCGUCGCAACCUCCGUUAUCUAUGUUCAAGAACUCUUCUUCUUCAUCUUCCACGACUAGUUUCGUGAACAAGGAAGAGAAAAGCUAGUAGCUGUAUCAAAAGAAACUCCAUUGUUAAUUUUUGGGGUGUUUUUUUUUUUAAAUAGGUGUUGUAGUAUUGUAUCCAAAGAUGUUAACUCUUGUUAAGUCCGUUUCUCAUAAGUGUUUUUAUUUGAGUUAGUGUGGUGCCUAUUCAUAUAGACCAAAUUAAAUGUACAACUGAUGUGAACGUAGUUUAAGCAAUGCAUUAAUAUGAAAUUCUGAAUGCUUUCCUUCUACUUCUAGGUACUCAACCUUAGUGGGCCUAAGAAAAUGGGCCUAAAUGAGAAAUAUUCAACGAAAAGGCCCAAAUGAUUAUGUGAGGCUGAGGCACAUAGAAACGAUUGUGUGUUUGUGCUUAUCUUUUAAAAGCUUGAUGCAAACCGGUUUUAUCUCCUAACUUCUCUACGAAUCACCAAUUCUUCGCAAUUUCCUAUUUUUGUCUUCUUUUAUCUAAUAACAUUCAACCUAUAAAUACUCGCAUAGCAUUCAUCUUUGUUCAGUUCAUAUUACUUUUAGUUUGUUCCAAUAAAAAAAAUAAAAAAAUCAUAUUACUUUUAAUUUUUUUUUCUUCUUUUUCUUGAUCAUGGCGAGAGUUUCUAUUUUAUUAUGUUUGGUUAUAUUGGUUACAUUAGGAUUUGUGGAAAGUUUGUCAUAUGCACACGACACGGAAGUGACAUCAAAAGAUGUGGAGAGUAGUCAGAAAGAGACUGAAGUUGUUCAUAAAAGUAAACAUGAAGAGAAAGGAGGAGAAAAGGUGAAUGAUGAUCACAAAUCCGGUUCUGAUGUUGAUAAAAAGGACAAAAAGAAAGAGCAUGAUGUGCAUAAAAAGGAUGAUCAUCAUGAAAAGAAAGAGCAUGAUGUGCAUAAAAAAGAUGAUGAACAUGAAAAGAAAGAGCAUGGUGUGCAUAAAAAGGGUGAUCACCAUGAAAAGAAAGAGCAUAAGGUGCAUAAAAAGGGUGAUCACGAGAAGGAUGGUGAUAAGAAGAAGAGCGCUCACCAGCAUAAACAUGGUAGUGAGAAGGAUGAUGAUGAUGAUGAGGAUGAUGAAAAGAAGCAUAAGGAUAAAAAGAAGGGUGAACAUGAUGAUGAUGAAGAUGAAUCUGAUACCGAUGAUGACACUGAUGAUGACACCGAUGAUGAUGAUGACGAUGACGAUGAUGAUAAAGAUGAGGUUGAUGCGGAUGAUAAUGAAAAAGAUAAUAUUGGAUUAUAUGAGCUCAAGAAGGGAAAUAUAACCAUCAAACUCACAAACUGGGGUGCUUCAAUCAUGUCUCUUCAUUUCCCGGAC
rnacentral:lncRNA from 1 species